rnacentral:lncRNA from 1 species
UUAAAAAAAAUUAUCGAAUCCGUAAACGCAAUUUUGACCAUCUGACAGGAUUCGAAGAAAAAAAUCGGUUAGGGUGGCGCUUCUAAUCAGAUCCAAAAAUUCAUACAACCAGUUAUGAAGAUUUUUCUCACAGGUAUAUUCAUACAAAAAUCUUUUUUCCAAGAGUUUUAUAUUUUAAACUCGAAAAAUAACGUGUAAAAAUGGAGUAAUAAACUUGGCUUUGAUACCAUUGAUAGAAAAUUAAGGAGCAAAAUAGUGUGUACCUUGACAAAUUUCGUAGUAGAUGUGAUUUUGCUACCGAAAGGAUCUGCCCCAAGUCCACUUUGUUUCUCUUGAAAACAGAGUAUUGAUUCACAAACUAAAAAUCUCCUUUUAAAUUUUUGUUAAUGUUUUUAUUUACCGUAAUAUUUAUUUUUAGUUAUUUUUUUUUUCAGAAGAAGUGAAUAUGUACAAGAGUAGUGGGUGGAUAAACCAGUUAUACAGUAACUGUCCCUCUCUUUUUCAAAAUUAAAUUGUUCCCUUCUUAUCUUUCAUUUAACAAAUAAUUAAAAUAAAAAACUGGGUCGGACCGAAUCGGAUUGGGUCGAUCCACAUGGACGACUCAUGACCCCUAAUCUAACAAUUAGGAUAAUAAUAAAAUUAGAAGAAAGACAAAAAAUAAGAAAAAAUAGACUCUACAAAGGAGAAACUAAGCUAAUUCUAAUAAUUUGUGGAGCACCAAGGCAUAAAUGAUUGGGUGCCUAUUGUAAAUCUAUCUAAUUUUUGGUGAAGUAUUUCAACAACGUCAAUAAAAUAUGAAGAUAAUUGCAUUUAUAAUUUAAUAAUUUCAAUUCAUUAAUAACCUAGAAAUAGUAUUUUAUUUCACAUUUGUUUAUAUUAGAAGUAAAAAAUAUGCUUCAUAUGAAUCAUAAAUGUUCUUGCAAUUUCCAGUUAUGUUAGAUAGUGUUGAAAUUCGUAACAGUUUCAUCUUAAAAAAUGUCAUACCAAGAAAAUAUGCAUAAGCUUUUUUAUCCAACUUCAUAGUACUAUAUCUAUUAUGGAGUUUGUGUACUGUUCAUGAGAGAUUUGGUUUUGCAGCCUUUUACAAAGUUUCUUAGUUUUUUGUCCUUUUUAUAGGAUUUCUCAUUUUUGCAUACUAGAUUUAGAAAAAGAAAAAAUUACACGCCAUAUAUAAAAUUAUUUUUUAAUUACAUGAUAUGAUUAAUAUUUCAAAAAAUUAUUCUACAUAGUUAUUUAUUAGUUAUAAAAAUAUUUUUUGUGGGCCCCUAUAUAUAAAUAUAAUAUGCAAUAUAUAUAACAAAUAAUACUCUCUUUCUCAUGUAAUUAAUUUUUUAUAAUCUCUCUCUAAUCUAAUUAGCUAAUUUUACCGCAUUAACUUAUGCACUGUUCUUGAACAUAUCUCAAUGAAAAUUUUUCUCCCAAAUUAGUUAAUUUAUUUUCUUUUCCUAAACAUCCAUUGUGAUUUUGCGUUGAAAAUUUUUUGAAGUAAUUUCUCGUCCCUAAACAUAUGUGAGGAUAUGCAUUGAAGAUUUUGUGAUAAUCUUUAAUUUUUUUGGGUAAAUAGAUUUGUUUUCUUUUAAUUUUUUUUUAGCUAUUCUCUAAAUGAACCCUAUGUUUCUUCAGAUUUAAUCUAUUUUAUAGAAUGGAAUGUAAAAUUUGAAAAUCGAAUUGUAUAUUAGUGUCAUUUCACAGGAUAAAUCUUGAUGAAUUAUCUUCAUAAUUGGGAUCCAAUUUUAGUGAAUUUGAUAAUUGUAUAUAGACGAUGUAAUUGUAUUAAGUUGCAUAGAUUUUUGUACGUCGGUAUUCAUUGUAUAUUUUUUUCAUUUGUAUAUUUUCUAUACAUAUGAAUGUAUUGAAUGUAUAUUUUUGAUGUAUAUAUUUGAAUUUUUGUAUAACUAUGAUGUAUACAAGUUUGUUCUGUGUUGGUACACAUAUACAUAUAUAUAUGCAUAUAUAUGUGUUGGCUCAAUAUACAUUAUUCAUAUGUGUAUACAUAUGUUCUAUAUUUAUGUAUAUAUACAUAUUCAUAUCUGUAUAUAUGUACAUACAUUUGAAUAUA